rnacentral:rRNA from 1 species
UACGUAGGGUGCGAGCGUUGUCCGGAAUUAUUGGGCGUAAAGAGCUUGUAGGCGGUUUGUCGCGUCUGCUGUGAAAAUCCGGGGCUCAACCCCGGACUUGCAGUGGGUACGGGCAGACUGGAGUGUGGUAGGGGAGAUUGGAAUUCCUGGUGUAGCGGUGGAAUGCGCAGAUAUCAGGAGGAACACCGGUGGCGAAGGCGGGUCUCUGGGCCGAUACUGACGCUGAGGAGCGAAAGCGUGGGGAGCGAACAGG